rnacentral:rRNA from 1 species
GCCGCGUGAGCGAAGAAGGCUUUCGAGUCGUAAAGCUCUGUCCUAAGAGAAGAAGAAGUGACGGUAACUUAGGAGGAAGCCCCGGCUAACUACGUGCCAGCAGCCGCGGUAAUACGUAGGGGGCUAGCGUUGUCCGGAAUUACUGGGCGUAAAGGGUGAGUAGGUGGUCAUUAAAGUCAGAUGUAAAAGGCAAUGGCUCAACCAUUGUAAGCAUUUGAAACUUAAUGACUUGAGUGCAGGAGAGGUAAAUGGAAUUCCUAGUGUAGCGGUGAAAUGCGUAGAUAUUAGGAAGAACACCAGUGGCGAAGGCGAUUUACUGGACUG